AAGGAAAGUGUUAAAAAAAUAACUCUCUGUGUCUGCCUGCUUGAAUGGGUUCACAUAUACUGUUCUUUAAGGUAGGGUAGAAAAGUUAGAGGGCAGAUGGGGGUAGCCUGGAGGAGGACAAAGCUUCACCUGUUCCAAACAGCUGGCCAUGGGAAGACUCACAGCCUAAAUCCAGCACACCUGUCUCCCCUUCCUCCCACAGCCACCAACAAGGCCUAGCAGAGCAAGGUCUUGACAGCCGAGGCGCCUGCUGCUUUUAAGUGACUAGGCUCAACUUUACAAUCUGAUGAUUAAGGUCUUUGGGGCCCUAUUUUUAGUGUAGAUGUAAAUUGCUUUAUGAGCUAAGAUGUCUGUACAUUUUAAUGACAUGCUUCUGUCCCAGUUCACUCCU
rnacentral:lncRNA from 1 species